rnacentral:rRNA from 1 species
AUGAACGCUAGCUACAGGCUUAACACAUGCAAGUCGAGGGGCAGCAUUUCAGUUUGCUUGCAAACUGGAGAUGGCGACCGGCGCACGGGUGAGUAACACGUAUCCAACCUGCCGAUAACUCGGGGAUAGCCUUUCGAAAGAAAGAUUAAUACCCGAUGGUAUAAUCAGACCGCAUGGUCUUAUUAUUAAAGAAUUUCGGUUAUCGAUGGGGAUGCGUUCCAUUAGGCAGUUGGUGAGGUAACGGCUCACCAAACCUUCGAUGGAUAGGGGUUCUGAGAGGAAGGUCCCCCACAUUGGAACUGAGACACGGUCCAAACUCCUACGGGAGGCAGCAGUGAGGAAUAUUGGUCAAUGGGCGCAGGCCUGAACCAGCCAAGUAGCGUGAAGGAUGACUGCCCUAUGGGUUGUAAACUUCUUUUAUAUGGGAAUAAAGUUUUCCACGUGUGGAAUUUUGUAUGUACCAUAUGAAUAAGGAUCGGCUAACUCCGUGCCAGCAGCCGCGGUAAUACGGAGGAUCCGAGCGUUAUCCGGAUUUAUUGGGUUUAAAGGGAGCGUAGGUGGACAGUUAAGUCAGUUGUGAAAGUUUGCGGCUCAACCGUAAAAUUGCAGUUGAUACUGGCUGUCUUGAGUACAGUAGAGGUGGGCGGAAUUCGUGGUGUAGCGGUGAAAUGCUUAGAUAUCACGAAGAACUCCGAUUGCGAAGGCAGCUCACUGGGCUGCAACUGACACUGAUGCUCGAAAGUGUGGGUAUCAAACAGGAUUAGAUACCCUGGUAGUCCACACAGUAAACGAUGAAUACUCGCUGUUUGCGAUAUACAGUAAGCGGCCAAGCGAAAGCAUUAAGUAUUCCACCUGGGGAGUACGCCGGCAACGGUGAAACUCAAAGGAAUUGACGGGGGCCCGCACAAGCGGAGGAACAUGUGGUUUAAUUCGAUGAUACGCGAGGAACCUUACCCGGGCUUAAAUUGCAUUUGAAUAAUCUGGAAACAGGUUAGCCGCAAGGCAAAUGUGAAGGUGCUGCAUGGUUGUCGUCAGCUCGUGCCGUGAGGUGUCGGCUUAAGUGCCAUAACGAGCGCAACCCUUAUCUUUAGUUACUAACAGGUCAUGCUGAGGACUCUAGAGAGACUGCCGUCGUAAGAUGUGAGGAAGGUGGGGAUGACGUCAAAUCAGCACGGCCCUUACGUCCGGGGCUACACACGUGUUGCAAUGGGGGGUACAGAAGGCAGCUACCUGGUGACAGGAUGCUAAUCCCAAAAGCCUCUCUCAGUUCGGAUCGAAGUCUGCAACCCGACUUCGUGAAGCUGGAUUCGCUAGUAAUCGCGCAUCAGCCAUGGCGCGGUGAAUACGUUCCCGGGCCUUGUACACACCGCCCGUCAAGCCAUGAAAGCCGGGGGUACCUGAAGUACGUAACCGCAAGGAGCGUCCUAGGGUAAAACUGGUAAUUGGGGCUAAG